GAAGUGCUGCGUACGGGAGGGUGUGGUCCCUGGCUAGGGCUCCACCCCGGCCCUGUGCUCACUGACCUAGGUGAGGGCAGGCAUGUUUGUUUUCCUGCCCAAAUGUUGCAUUUCCCAAGACCACCCUGGCCUGCCACGCCCCCAUCCUGUUCCCGCCCCCAUCCUGUCCCUAUAAAUACUCUGAGACCCUAGCAAGCAGACACACAAGCCGCUGGACAUCCGGAGGAGCAUGUUGGCGGAAGAAGACAUGACAGACGCUGACACGCGGGCAGGCCACCCACCAGAAGGAUGCGGAGUUUGGCUGGGGCAGUCCAAGGAGAGCCGGUGCUGCGGAGCAGCCCGACUCCAGGGGAAAACCAUCUCCCUUCUGGCUCCCCCAACUGUUGAGAGCUACUUUCACUCAAAACCCUGCAGUCAUCCUCCAAGGCCAUGUGUGAUCUGAUUCUUCUGGUACACCAAGACAGGAACCCCGGGAUACAGAAAGCCCUCUGUCCUUGUGAUAAGGCAGGGAUCUAAUUGAAUUGACUAACAUAAGCCGCCUGCGGAUGGCUAAACUAAAACAGCACUCUGUAACAUGCCCACUGGGGCUUCAGCUGUAAACAUUCACCCCUAGACACUGCCAUGGGGUCGGAGCCCCACAGCCCGCCCCUCUGUGUACUCCCCUGGAGGUUUGAGCAGCGGGACACUGAAGAAGCGAGCCACACCCCCAUCGCACGCCCUGCCAGUGGGACAAGGGAACGUUUCCCUUAUCAACAUCAACCUAAAUAGCCUCGCAUCAAAAGUAUUUGACUGUCAAUAGUUAGGAUUUUCCCUACCAGCAGUAGCAAGUUUUUAGCUUUAUUGGAAUUAGUUUCCAGCUCUGCAAAAAUGUUCAUCCGCUUUGUAACUCCAGGCUUUUUUGGUAGAGCAGCUGUUAGUUGACCAGUCACUUCGCCUCUGUAAGUUCACCAUAUAGGCUAUUCAUGUCUAAAGUGUUCAUUUUCAAACCCUCUGAAACUCAUUGGAUAUCUAUCAUAAUGUCUGAAGACAAAUAUUUCAUUAACAAAUAAGAAGGUGAUAGACCUGGAGUGAGAAUCCACCCAAUUCAUGUCAAUCAGAGACAAAUUUGCAAGAUCCUGUGAUUCCUGAACCAGCUGUGGUCACUGAUCACUUCUGUCCUGGAGGAACUAGAGACAUUCAAGACAAAUAAGGACUCAUCUAUUCCCCUGAUUAAAGGACUUUUCACAGAGGCUCCAUUGGGGCCAAAUUAUGUACAAUGUGCUCUCUGAGAUGGGGAUGUGUAAAUAGCUGUCAAAAUGUCAUCUGGGCAGAAAUUUGUUUGUGAGGAUAAAUUUAUGUUCGGGGUGAGGGGUGAAUACAACAGAAAUUUGUAUUUUGCAGAGGGAAAUGUGGGUUCCAUGGUGGGUAGAAAUACAAUAGAUUAGUAGAAUACUUAGAAUCUCAAAGAAAUUUUUAAAUCACAGAGUUGUUUUUUUUUUGAGAAAAUUUUUGAAAUGAUUUUGAAAUGAUUUACUCAAAAAGUGCCCCUCAAACACCAAGUGAUCCCUCUAUAGAUGACAGCUAAAGAUCACAAUCUUACUGCUAUGCCCUUGUGUUUUCAGUGAAGACUUGUGUGACUAUAGUGAGGUUCUAGAUGUUUAAUCGUCGGGGGUAAAUUGGAGAUUUCAGAUGAGGCUGUCUCAUGGAAGAGGGAGGAAGGAUACUCACAAACCCUACAGCCGGAAUCUGAGCAUCCAGUGGAAAAUGACAGUCCCUGAUCCCUCAGGAAACUUUCUCUGGCCUCUGUCAGUGAUGUUCUAAUCCAGGAGAGCAGAACUUUCCCCCCCAUAAUGUUUCUCACUGCAUUUCCUGAAAUAUAUUUCAUCUAAGUUCCAUAUGUUUAUCUGAAAAGAAUAGCCACUUACCAAAUUGUGUUUCCAACUAGGGUAGUGGCCGCAGUUGUAUUAUCUUGUGCAUUUGUCAAGAGAGGUCAUCCGAACGCUGAGAUAAAGGCUUGGGAUUCUAUUGUCUCAUCUCUUUCUGGGAGUGAUUUUCCUCUCAUCUGGAAGUGCAGAGACAGAGUCUUCAUGGGGAACUGAGAUUACCUCCAAAAAACAUUUGUGAAGUGAGCGAUUCCCAGAAGGCUGUUAAUGUUGAUUAAUGAAAUUAUACAAAAAGAAUCAUAAGAUAGCUGGAGAAGAAAAUUAUCUGUGAUGCCUGGAAAAGAUACGUCCCAGUGGGAGAUGAAAUGGACAAGUCUUGGAAACACACAAGCUACCAAAACUCAAGAAGAAAUAGAAGAUCUGAAUAAACUUUAAGAGACUGAGUCAGUUUUCAGAAACCCCACACAAAGAAAAGCCCGGACUGGAUGGCUUCUCUGAUGAACUCUAAGCACAGCAACAUGAACCUAGUGGGAGCAGCAGAUGGAAAGGAAAUAGAAACAGGCCAGAGGGUCCUCAUCUCAGUCUUCCUGGGCAGCGAUCUAGGCAGUAUGGAUGGGACCGACCUCACAGAGGAGACU